rnacentral:rRNA from 1 species
GAGUUUGAUCCUGGCUCAGGAUGAACGCUAGCGACAGGCUUAACACAUGCAAGUCGAGGGGCAGCGGGUAGAUGAGCUUGCUCAUUUAUGCCGGCGACCGGCGCACGGGUGAGUAACACGUAUGCAACCUGCCCGUCUCAGGGGGAUAAUCGUCGGAAACGGCGUCUAAUACCCCGUAUGAAGCUGGACGGCAUCGUCUGGUUUUGAAAGAAUAUCGGAGACGGAUGGGCAUGCGGCGCAUUAGCUAGUUGGCGGGGUAACGGCCCACCAAGGCGACGAUGCGUAGGGGUUCUGAGAGGAAGGUCCCCCACACUGGUACUGAGACACGGACCAGACUCCUACGGGAGGCAGCAGUGAGGAAUAUUGGUCAAUGGGCGAGAGCCUGAACCAGCCAAGUCGCGUGAGGGAGUACUGCCCUAUGGGUUGUAAACCUCUUUUGUCGGGGAGCAAAAGCCGGACGUGUCCGGCUGUGAGAGUACCCGAAGAAAAAGCAUCGGCUAACUCCGUGCCAGCAGCCGCGGUAAUACGGAGGAUGCGAGCGUUAUCCGGAUUUAUUGGGUUUAAAGGGUGCGCAGGCGGAUUUUUAAGUCAGCGGUCAAAUCGUGGGGCUCAACCCCAUCCAGCCGUUGAAACUGGGGAUCUAGAGUGUGCGAGAGGUAUGCGGAAUGCGUGGUGUAGCGGUGAAAUGCAUAGAUAUCACGCAGAACCCCGAUUGCGAAGGCAGCAUACCGGUGCACAACUGACGCUCAGGCACGAAAGCGUGGGUAUCGAACAGGAUUAGAUACCCUGGUAGUCCACGCAGUAAACGAUGAAUGCUACCUGUUUGGCCAGAUUGAAGGCUGAGCGGGACAGCGAAAGCGUUAAGCAUUCCACCUGGGGAGUACGCCGGCAACGGUGAAACUCAAAGGAAUUGACGG